rnacentral:rRNA from 1 species
CUUGCCGUAAACGAUGUAUACUUGAUGUAGCUGGGCUCAACCCUGGCUGUGUCGUAGCUAACGCGAUAAGUAUACCGCCUGGGGANGAAACGCGAAGAACCUUACCCAGGUUUGAAAUACAGAGGAAUUAAGCUGAAAAGUUUAAGCCCGCAAGGGUCUUUGUACAGGUGC